GCGGAUGUGGCGAAAUUGGUAGACGCAUUAGACUUAGGAUCUAACGCCGCGAGGCAUGGGGGUUCGAGUCCCUCCAUCCGCAC
rnacentral:tRNA from 1 species